rnacentral:rRNA from 1 species
UGGGGAAUUUUGGACAAUGGGCGAAAGCCUGAUCCAGCAAUGCCGCGUGUGUGAAGAAGGCCUUCGGGUUGUAAAGCACUUUUGUCCGGAAAGAAAUCCUUGGCUCUAAUACAGUCGGGGGAUGACGGUACCGGAAGAAUAAGCACCGGCUAACUACGUGCCAGCAGCCGCGGUAAUACGUAGGGUGCAAGCGUUAAUCGGAAUUACUGGGCGUAAAGCGUGCGCAGGCGGUUUGCUAAGACCGAUGUGAAAUCCCCGGGCUCAACCUGGGAACUGCAUUGGUGACUGGCAGGCUAGAGUAUGGCAGAGGGGGGUAGAAUUCCACGUGUAGCAGUGAAAUGCGUAGAGAUGUGGAGGAAUACCGAUGGCGAAGGCAGCCCCCUGGGCCAAUACUGACGCUCAUGCACGAAAGCGUGGGGGAGCAAACAGGAUUAGAUACCCUGGUAGUCCACGCCCUAAAACGAUGUCAACUAGUUGUUGGGGAUUCAUUUCCUUAGUAACGUAGCUAACGCGUGAAGUUGACCGCCUGGGGAGUACGGUCGCAAGAUUAAAACUUAAAUGAAUUGACGGGGU